GCCGGGGUAGCUCAGUGGUUAGAGCGAUUGAUUCAUAAUCAAUAGGUCAUGGGUUCAAGUCCCUUCCCCGGUA
rnacentral:tRNA from 1 species